CCUANGGGUGGCAGCAGUGGGGAAUAUUGCGCAAUGGACGAAAGUCUGACGCAGCGACGCCGCGUGUGGGAUGAAGCCUUUCGGGGUGUAAACCACUGUUGCCCGGGACGAAACUCCUUUUUCGAGAGGAUUGACGGUACCGGGUGAGGAAGCACCGGCUAACUCUGUGCCAGCAGCCGCGGUAAUACAGAGGGUGCGAGCGUUGUCCGGAAUCACUGGGCGUAAAGGGCGCGUAGGUGGCUUGGUAAGCGUGUGGUGAAAGUCCGGGGCUCAACCCCGGAUCUGCCGUGCGAACUGCCGAGCUGGAGCAAUGUAGAGGCAGGUGGAAUUUCGGGUGUAGCGGUGGAAUGCGUAGAUAUCCGAAAGAACACCAGUGGCGAAGGCGGCCUGCUGGGCAUUUGCUGACACUGAGGCGCGACAGCGUGGGGAGCAAACAGGAUUAGAUACCCUANUANUC
rnacentral:rRNA from 1 species